UACGAAGGGGGCUAGCGUUGUUCGGAAUUACUGGGCGUAAAGCGCGCGCAGGCGGCUAUCCAAGUCAGUGGUGAAAGCCCGGAGCUCAACUCCGGAACUGCCAUUGAAACUGUUUAGCUUGAGGACGAGAGAGGUGAGUGGAAUUCCCAGUGUAGAGGUGAAAUUCGUAGAUAUUCGGAGGAACACCAGUGGCGAAGGCGGCUCACUGGUCCGGUACUGACGCUGAGGUGCGAAAGCGUGGGGAGCAAACAGG
rnacentral:rRNA from 1 species